rnacentral:rRNA from 1 species
UCGGGAAUUUUGGGCAAUGGGGGAAACCCUGACCCAGCAACGCCGCGUGAAGGAUGAAGUAUUUCGGUAUGUAAACUUCGAAAGAAUAGGAAGAAUAAAUGACGGUACUAUUUAUAAGGUCCGGCUAACUACGUGCCAGCAGCCGCGGUAAUACGUAGGGACCAAGCGUUGUUCGGAUUUACUGGGCGUAAAGGGCGCGUAGGCGGCAUGACAAGUCACUUGUGAAAUCUCUGGGCUUAACCCAGAACGGCCAAGUGAUACUGUCGCGCUAGAGUGCAGAAGGGGCAAUCGGAAUUCUUGGUGUAGCGGUGAAAUGCGUAGAUAUCAAGAGGAACACCUGAGGUGAAGACGGGUUGCUGGGCUGACACUGACGCUGAGGCGCGAAAGCUAGGGUAGCAAACGGGAUUAGAUACCCAAGAGUCCCUGAGCGGGCUGGCAAGGCGCAU